GACGAACGCUGGCGGCGUGCCUAAUACAUGCAAGUAGAACGCUGAAGGCGGAGCUUGCUUCUCUGGUUGAGUUGCGAACGGGUGAGUAACGCGUAGGUAACCUGCCUGGUAGCUGGGGAUAACUAUUGGAAACGAUAGCUAAUACCGCAUAAUAGUAGCUGUUGCAUGACAUUUGCUUAAAAGGUGCAAUUGCAUCACUACCAGACGGACCUGCGGUGUAUUAGCUAGUUGGUGGGGUAACGGCUCACCAAGGCGACGAUACAUAGCCGACCUGAGAGGGGGAGCAGCCACACUGAGACUGAGACACGGCCCAGACUCCUACGGAAAGCAGCAGUAGGGAAACUUCGGCAAUGGGCGGAAGACUGAGCGAGCAACGCCGCGGGAGGGAAGAAGGAUGUCGGAUCGUAAAGGUCGGUUGUAAGGGAAGAAAGAGUGUGAGAGUGGAAAGUUCACAGUGUGACGGUAUCUGACCAAAAAGGGACGGCUAACUACGUG
rnacentral:rRNA from 1 species